GAUGAACGCUGGCGGCGUGCCUAAUACAUGCAAGUCGAGCGCAGGAAACCGUCUGAACCCUCCGGGGGGACGACGGCGGAAUGAGCGGCGGACGGGUGAGUAACACGUAAAGAACCUGCCCAUAGGUCUGGGAUAACCACGAGAAAUCGGGGCUAAUACCGGAUGUGUCAUCGGACCGCAUGGUCCGCUGAUGAAAGGCGCUCCGGCGUCGCCCAUGGAUGGCUUUGCGGUGCAUUAGCUAGUUGGUGGGGUAACGGCCCACCAAGGCGACGAUGCAUAGCCGACCUGAGAGGGUGAUCGGCCACACUGGGACUGAGACACGGCCCAGACUCCUACGGGAGGCAGCAGUAGGGAAUCUUCCACAAUGGACGAAAGUCUGAUGGAGCAACGCCGCGUGAACGAUGAAGGCUUUCGGGUCGUAAAGUUCUGUUGUAAGGGAAGAACAAGUGCCGCAGGCAAUGGCGGCACCUUGACGGUACCUUGCGAGAAAGCCACGGCUAACUACGUGCCAGCCGCCGCAGUAA
rnacentral:rRNA from 1 species